rnacentral:rRNA from 1 species
AUUGAACGCUGGCGGCAUGCUUUACACAUGCAAGUCGAACGGCAGCGGGGAGGUGCUUGCUUCUCUGCCGGCGAGUGGCGAACGGGUGAGUAAUACAUCGGAACGUGUCGAGAAGAGGGGGAUAACCACCCGAAAGGGUGGCUAAUACCGCAUAAAUUCUGAGGAAGAAAGCUGGGGGCCUGGGAAUAGGCCUAGCGCUUUUUGAGCGGCCGAUGUCGGAUUAGCUAGUUGGUGAGGUAAAGGCUCACCAAGGCGAAGAUCUGUAGCGGGUCUGAGAGGAGGAUCCGCCACACUGGGACUGAGACACGGCCCAGACUCCUACGGGAGGCAGCAGUGGGGAAUUUUGGACAAUGGGGGCAACCCUGAUCCAGCCAUGCCGCGUGUAUGAAGAAGGCCUUAGGGUUGUAAAGUACUUUUGUUAGGGAAGAAAAGUCAGCUGUGAAUAAUGGCUGAUACUGACGGUACCUAAAGAAUAAGCACCGGCUAACUACGUG